AUGGUACUCCAGGGUCCAGGCCAUCACAUCCUCGAGGCUGCAGUCAGUGGUGGCCUCAAUGCACCAACCGGCAUCAUCAGUACAUACGACAAAGGCCUCGCCAGCCUUCACCGAGCCGACGAAGCAGCCGGCGAAUUUGGGGUUCUCCACCAGCGCGCGACAGCAUGGUGCGGAUCGCCUCGGUCGGCCUGGCAUCGUCGAUCUGCAGGCUGCUGUUGUGCCGGAACACGUGCAGAGAGCCAGAGACCGCGUGGUUUGGCGCAGUCCGGGAACUGGAUCUGGCGCGGCUGGCAGAGAUGA
rnacentral:rRNA from 1 species